ensembl:lncRNA
CCGGCGGCCGGGGGCUGGACUUCCAGCAGGCGCCUGCGCGCUGAGCUGCCGGAGGCUCCUCCCUCUUCUGCAAAGACCUUUCCCUGCGGGUGGAGGGUUUAGCCCGCAAACCCCAAAGGCGGAAUCCAGACUGCCACCCCUUCGGCACCAGAUCAGGGAAGAGGCCAGAUUGCAGGACCAGGAGCUGGAAGAGGCCCGGGCUUGCCUCCAAGUUCCAAAAGCAUUGCUGUCACAUUUACACCUCGUCCCAUUUAGACUGUGCACCAACUAUGGUGUCCUCAGACUUUGCCCUGUUGAGGCAAGUUAGAUGGUUCUUUUGAUCUUUUUGCAGUUAUAGACAAGCCGAUGAAAACAGUGAGGAAUCAGCUGUGAAUCCACCAUGCAUUUCUGGCCAGAGGACACACCUUUCCGGUGGAGCAGGGGUUCCGGCAGACACGCCCACACACUGGCGCUCGAGUGUGGACUGUUUGGAAAGCAAUCUUGAGAAAUGUAGGAAGAGCCUUGAAAAGUGUUCUUACUCUUGGACCUAGAGAUUCCAUUUCUAGAAAUCUACCGGAAGGCAGUAGAGAUCAAAAUUAGUGAACAAGAAGGCUUAUGAGAGGAUUAUUUAUAAUCCAGACUUUGGAAACACCCCAAAUACUCCCACACCAAGGAGCGAAGAAGUGAGGACGGCGCAGCCUAGGGGAAUAGGAUGCGGUCGUUACAAAGCACAUUUUCCAAGACGUGCACCCGUCUUAGCCUCCUUCCGAAAUUCGGGUGAAAUCUUAUAGCAGGCAGACAGUGCUAUGAGAUUCUGGAAGGAAGAUAUUUAAACAGGGUUUUGAGGAAUGGGGUGGAUUUCCCAAGUGAAGGUGGAGGUGAGGACGCUUCAGACAAAAUUCAGGUUAAACAAGGACAGGAAGUUUGAGAAACCAGGGUGUUGACGGUGGGGAGUCUUGGGACGGGCAGGUGGGCGUGGAAGAGUGGCUGAGAUCAGACGGUGAAGGCGUUAGAGAACCAAUCGGACUGUCAGGCAAUAAAAAGAUGUCUAAGAAUUUUAAAAAGCUCCCU